GACAACUUACACCUGAAAUGUUGGAGGAAUUAGAGCAACCCCUCACGAUAGAAGAGCUAGCGGCUGCAUUAAAACUUUCCAAGACCCAUAGGGCUCCCGGCCCAGACGGCCUCCCAAUAGCCUACUUACGAACAUUCCGCGACAUUUUACUGCCGAACCUUCUACGGGGCCUCGAGUCGCUUCGAGACGGGGAGAAAUUCCCCACCGACUCAUUAGCGGCCAUAGUCACGGUAAUACCCAAGGAAGGCAAGGACCCAACGAACUGCGCAAGCUACCGUCCCAUAUCCCUACUCAAUGCAGACCUCAAAUUGUUCGCCAAGACACUGGCCCUGCGAAUCGCAAAGCACCUACCACACCUGGUACACUCGGAUCAGGUCGGGUUCGUACCUGAAAGGGAGGGAAGGGACAACACCAUUAAAGCCCUAAACAUUCUGCAAGUAGCAAGGUCGCAACACCGGGAG